GAUGAACGCUGGCGGCGUGCCUAAUACAUGCAAGUAGAACGCUGAAGGAGGAGCUUGCUCUUCUGGAUGAGUUGCGAACGGGUGAGUAACGCGUAGGUAACCUGCCUGGUAGCGGGGGAUAACUAUUGGAAACGAUAGCUAAUACCGCAUGACAACAGUUAUUGCAUGAUAACUGUUUAAAAGGGGCAACUGCUCCACUACCAGAUGGACCUGCGUUGUAUUAGCUAGUUGGUGAGGUGACGGCUCACCAAGGCGACGAUACAUAGCCGACCUGAGAGGGUGAUCGGCCACACUGGGACUGAGACACGGCCCAGACUCCUACGGGAGGCAGCAGUAGGGAAUCUUCGGCAAUGGACGGAAGUCUGACCGAGCAACGCCGCGUGAGUGAAGAAGGUUUUCGGAUCGUAAAGCUCUGUUGUAAGAGAAGAACGAGUGUGAGAGUGGAAAGUUCACACUGUGACGGUAUCUUACCAGAAAGGGAUGGCUAACUACGUG
rnacentral:rRNA from 1 species